UACGUAGGGGGCAAGUGUUGUCCGGAAUCAUUGGGCGUAAAGCGCGUGUAGGCGGCUUCGUAAGUCCGUUGUGAAAGUCCAGGGCUCAACCCUGGAAUGCCGAUGGAUACUGCGGAGCUAGAGUCCGGAAGAGGCGAGUGGAAUUCCUGGUGUAGCGGUGAAAUGCGUAGAUAUCGAGAGGAACACCUGCGGCGAAGGCGGGUUGCUGGGCUGACACUGACGCUGAGGCGCGAAAGCGUGGGGAGCAAACAGG
rnacentral:rRNA from 1 species